rnacentral:rRNA from 1 species
UACGUAGGGUGCAAGCGUUGUCCGGAAUUAUUGGGCGUAAAGAGCUCGUAGGCGGUUUGUCGCGUCGAAUGUGAAAACCCGGGGCUCAACCCCGGGCCUGCAUUCGAUACGGGCAGACUAGAGUUCGGUAGGGGAGUCUGGAAUUCCUGGUGUAGCGGUGAAAUGCGCAGAUAUCAGGAGGAACACCCGUAGCGAAGGCGGCACUCUGGGCCGGAACUGACGCUGAGGAGCGAAAGCGUGGGGAGCGAACAGG